AAUGUUGAGCCUGAUGAGAAAGCAAUUGGUUGAGGAGUUGCAGGAGAAGUCCGAAAAGGCACAGCAGCAGGCCGGACUGGCGAUUUAAAAACAGGAGGACCAGGGGGGGUGCUUAGAUGAGGAAGGGGGCUCCUAACCCCAUUGGCAGGUGACAACAAAUUUGGGUUCUGGAAAAAAGGGGAAGGGAUCUGAUCUUGUAGCAAUUUAGGAGGAGGAAAUCGAGGAGCUCCAGGUAACAUUGUAGCAGGAGGAGCUGAAUUUUUAUCUAGUUGAGGGGUUGAUGAGUCAGAGUUUGAGGGAGUAACAGUAGAAUAUCCAAGGGAAGGUGGUGGUGGAUUAGUCAUUGCAAUUCAAAGUUUCUCUAUCGAAUAAUCAAGAAUAACCUAGAAGCCAAAAUCAAACUCUAUAGAAAGCUACAGACAGUUGUAUCCCAGGGCCAAUUAUGACAAGAGAAUUCAAAGUGACAACUUUGAGACUGUCAAUUGAUUAUUGAUUGAAAUUCAAUUAAGAAUCAUAAACAAAACAGCCUACAAAGGUCUGAUACACCGGCAGCUCAAGAAUUGCAAUCCAAUCUCAAUAUUGAUGCGGAAGAAGAUACCGAAUGGGAUGACCUUGACAAACCAAAACCCCCAAGUAAAAUCUAAAACCCCAGAGCAAGAAAGGGCUUUGAUGCAAAUCCAGUUCAAGAAAUCCCCAGUAAAAUCAAGAACCCAACUAAAGAACCAAAAUUAUCAGCUUCAGAGAUCAAAUUGAAUGCAAGAAAACCUGAUCUCUCCGCAUAAUUGGGCACCAAAAUCUUCCUCUCGCACAGACAUCUGAAAGAAAAGGAGACCAGUUAGAAUUCCACUUUGUGUCAAGAAAAAGGAUCUAGUUUUCUUCAGCAAAACAAAACCAAUAUUGAAUGAAAUUGAGACGAGGACAGUAGAAUCGACGUACCUGAGAGGGAAAGAAGGAAAAUUGAAAGAUUUGCAGAGUAAAUCUUCAGUCCCUUUUUUAAAAAUCUUAAUUAAAAAAUGGAAAUAUUUUCGAAGUGAUUUUAUAAUCUUUUUGGAUUCUGGGUCCUUUGUCCUCGCAAGCUAGGGAGCUCUCUCUCGUCUCCUGUUGUGUUCGAUUUUCCUUUUACACGAGAGGGAGAAGACAGCAACGUUGCAGUUUGGUCCACAUAAAGUCAACAGGCCAUUUUUUAAUUGUCUUUCUGUAACAGGAUGAAUCGCGAAUGAAGAUCUCCGAUGUCGUUCCAACCCUUCGUUAAAUUAAUUCAACUUCCUCCGAAUUACGGCCCUCGUUACUUUGCGCCUGCAAAGCCCCACUCUGUGAAUCGAAUAAAAAGAAAACACUAAAUUACAAAUUACGUUUACAAAAUAUUAUAAUAAAACUUUAUCAAUAAGAUAAAUUUACACGUUUAUAUAAAAAAAUUAUCUAUUUAUUUUUUUAUUAUCAUCAUCAUUAUUUUUAUUUUAUUUUUAAAAUGAUUUAGGAAAAAAAACGUUAAGGUAAAUAUUUUAAAAAUAUUAGUUCUAACAUUAAUUUUUUUUUAUUAGAGUGAAUCAGGAAUUGAACUCUAAAUUACUUUCAUAUUAUUUGGAUCUCCUUUGGGAACUGCAAAUGGAAAACUUCACGAAGAAUCAUGCCUGAAAGAGGCGGAGCAAAGGAGAUCCGACAUGCCAUCAAAAUAACGGUGAAGAUGGGACAAAACCAGGAAGGCUUUAUUGCUCAUCCAAAGCAUUUCAACCGGGAAACAGUAUAGGACGGGGACCACUUCAAACCUUUUCAAGUGACGGUGAGUACAGAUGUUUUCUUUGUGAAAAAAAAAUAUUAAGGAUGAGAUCAUAGCCGCCGAAGACACCAUCCAGGUUACACCCCCUCGACCACGGAAAGAACAAAAAAAUAGAGACGGGAGAAGAUGGGUUUCCACGGGCGAGGCAGGAUGCAGUUCCCAAGACUCCCUUUUCUUGGAAGUACAUUAGCAAUUAAAUAAUGUAAAACUACAAAUUAACUUGGUUCUGGGGGCACCACUUUCAGACUCCGCAUCCACUCGCAGAAACUUGGAUCAUCAAAGUGAAUAAAGCUGCUUUUUAGCUUUGUUCGUUGUUCUGUUGUCAGAGAUCGAAGCUGCGGGAAUCUUGCCUCCUGCAAUCAAGUUCCAUCAAUUUGGUAAAAAUCCAACACUAUAAGCCUACUAAUAUUAUUGACCAAGAGCUUAUUUUUCUCUUUUCCACCAUAACCUGUUCAUAAGGUGGGUCCUUGUGUGCAGGUAUCAGCCGAGAAACAAAAUAUCUAGCUUGAGAGCUUCCCUCCUGUCAUUAACCCAAACCAACAAGUUGAUCAGUUCGGCCACAAAAGGAAAAAACUUAGGACAAAGGUGCACAGAAAUGGAUUGCAAAGAAUCAAGGGAAGAAAAACCUUGAAUGCAAGGAUUCUAGGUGCUGGAAACCGCAAUUCAGUUAUCUCUUCAGCUAAUGUUCUGCAGGCAGCUAAAGCAGCUGCACUUCUUCCUUCAUCAGCGGCUAGCUCAGCACCCUGUAGUUAGCAGUUAUUGAGAAAGUAUCUUUGUAUAUCAGGACAUAAAUGCCAGCUGACACAGAAAGAAACUCGAGAUAUAGACUAGCGGACUCAAACCAACACUAGUUUGGUAUAUGCAUGUCCAUAGCAAUCAGAUAUCCUCUCAGAAACAGGCAGUCGUGGUGAGGAAAAUUAACAUAAAAGCUGCCAGCUGAAAAUAUAGAAAUUGAUAUUUAAGCGGAAGACUGGCAUCAUUAGAGUUACUAGCACGCUUCUUACCUUCAAUCUAUUACUUCAGAAUUAGAAAAAAAUGCCUCUAAAUUUCUUUUUUUAUUGAAUCACAAAAGGAUUCCUUUUUCUGAAACAAUUAUAAGCAGGGAAGCAAUAAAUGUUUUCCCUUUGUUUCACCUAUCAAUAUUUCUGCCAGGAAAUGUCAUGCUUGAAUGUUUUUCCAUCACCUGAAAUUAGAUCAUUACAUAAACCAUAGCACAGACAAGUGUUUGUCCCCUCCCUAUAUCUGCAAUAAAUUCUUGAAUUUCCUUCCCGGUCAAAAACUUUAAUAGAAAAUACCGACUUUUUUAUCCAUGACACAAAAGUGCUCACAAACCAUGCAAAAACAGACAGCAGACACACCCACAGUUGAAGAUGCUCAGUUCAUGAGAAACGCAGGGGAAAUAAACAUACAAAAUAAAAAUAUUCAAUAAUUAGCAAUAUCAGGGAAUUGCAAAAGGAUGCCAACAUAAAACAGCAAGAAGAAAAGUCAAGUCACUUACCAACCAAAUGAAGACAUCUGUACCAUGGUCAAGAACAACAGCUGUAUCAGACUGCAUCGCAAGGUCAUAAGCUGGAAGUUCCUCAAAAGUGCCCCCUUCCCGGUGCAUUAGACAACGAGGUGCCACCAUACGGAGUGAAAGAUCAAAAGAUGCAUUCAAAAAUAAAUUCCGCAGCACAGACCUCUCAUCUUCAUGACCAACAAUGCUUCCCAAAAGAGGGCCCCGUCUAAGAUGGAAAAGGAGCUCUGGUAAUGCAGAGAGUUCUUUAGGAAAUCGAUGAAGUUUUGACUUGGGUACUAGGGACCCAAAUUUUAAAGCAAUGUCUUUAAUUCUUUCAUCUAUUGUUCCACGCAUAUCCAUGGCAUCUGAAUGGUUUUUGGCUCGCAAGAGGGUUCUCUUGGCCAUCAGGAUUGCAGCCACUUCAUCUUGAAAACUUUCAAGAUAUGCUGAAACACUAUCCACAGUAGGCAACCUGACAGUAACCACUCUUGAAAUAUCAGCUUGAUAAACGUUUGUGUAUUGAACAGUAAACUGGAAAAAUACACAAUCGCUCUUGAUGUCUCCUUUAGUUUCCAUAGAGAUUGCAAAGCUUUGGGUUUCUUCAACACUUAGCAUUUGAAUGCAGAGCGCAUUGUCAUUCUUGAAAGUUUCAUGUGUGUCUACAUGCGCUUCUUCACCAGGACCCACAACUUGAGUAAUUAAAAUAUCAUCAGAACAUCGAAUCUCCAACAAACCAUGGGAACCUGAUGCCCUAGAAGAUGCCCUUUGCAAAUUCACACCAAAGGCCUCCCCAAAGUCAUCGUGAAGAACCAAAACACCUCCAGAUGCCUUUGCAAGCGGCUGCAAAACUGGAAUUCUAACAGGGCAAGUUCCAGCACACAGAAUGUCAACUACUGUAUUAUUUCUAUGCGCUUCGCGGCCCAGGUUCUCCAUCCAUUUCAAGGCUGUUUUUUCCAGAUGAGGAUAAUUUGGGUGGCUAAAAGAAUGAGGAACUGAUCCAGGGCCCAUAUGUAUUAGGCCCGCCAGCACACACGAUGAUCCUGCUAUUGCCUCCAUUCCUUUUAACUACACCUCGGGACAUUUCUGCUGAUGGUCCUCGAAUUAUAGCCAGAGCAACCUCAACUGCAGUACCCAGGCACCGAUCUCUUAAAGCUUCUGCAAUGUUUGAUUUAUACGGUCUCUCAAAGAUGAGAAUAUUUUGUGCGCUACUUCCUUUGAAGCAUGCAUCGGUGACAAGUACACACCAGUUCCGUAGAUCAAUGCUUUCAAGGACUCUUGGAUAGGUGAUUUGUCACCAGGAAGUACAUCAGCAGAUGCCAUUGAUUCCUCUGAAAAAUCAUAAACUGACACUGUACGACCAUAAAGUAUUAUUCCAAUUCUUGCUGUAGGGGGGAGUGAAUCCGCAAAUGCAUGCAAAGAGCUUUGUAAAUGCUGCAGGUGGGGUUCAUCUAAACAGUCAUCUAUAACAAGUACAACGGGUGCAGACAUUCUGGAAUCAGAAACAGGAAUAAAACCAGGUCUCUUGUUCCCAGUUCGAACAUAAUCAACAAUGGGUGAUGAAAGUUCUGGAAAGUUGCGAAGAUCUUCUUUGCUUGGAGCUACAUACUCACCUUCACUUCCAUUCAGUCUCUGGCAAAUCACACAUUGCCACUGGCCUGAACCAAGUAAUAUCUUGCAAUAAAGAUUUGCAUAAGCUCCACAAUUGUGGCAACGAUGAGGAUCACGCUGUAAUAUUUGAGGACCUGGAAAAAUCUCUCUCCCAGGAGAAAAUAACGCCCCAAAGGCCAAACUUGGUACAUUUGUUAGUUUCUUUUGCUUCAAGACCUAAUAACAAAACGAGCCGAGCUCAAGUUCAAUUGAAAACUGCAACAUUAAUGUAAGCAAAAAAAUCACAAGAUUCAAGCAUAUAUAUAGGCGAGGCAUUUGGAAAGAAAGGAUAAUCAAACAACAAUUUAUGAACCAAACAAAAAGGUGCUCUCAAAAUCAGAACAACAAUCUCAUAAAAGACAAAAAAAGAAAAAAAAUUCCCACAACAAUUGGUGCCUUCAGUUUGAACAGGAGAGAGAAUGAUAGAGAUACCUUGUGAGCAGAGAACAAAGCACAUGAUGAUUCAUUGACAAGUGUCGAGUCCUCUGUAGCAAGGGGAACUUGGUGCUGCAACUCAACCGAACCAUUUAAAAAAUGAGGAGGCGAGGAUGUUGGCAAUGUUGAGCCGGAUGAGAAAGCAAUUGGUUGAGGAGUUGCAGGAGAUGUCCGAAAAGGCACAGCAGCAGGCCGGACUGGCGAUUUAAAAACAGGAGGACCAGGGGGGGUGCUUAGAUGAGGAAGGGGGCUCCUAACCCCAUUGGCAGGUGACAACAAAUUUGGGUUCUGAAAAAAAGGGGAAGGGAUCUGAUCUUGUUGCAAUUUAGGAGGAGGAAAUCGAGGAGCUCCAGGUAACAUUGUAGGAGGAGGAGCUGAAUUUUUCUCUGGUUGAGGGGUUGAUGAGUCAGGGUUUGAGGGAGUAACAGUAACAGAAUAUCCAAGGGAAGGUGGUGGUGGAUUAGUCAUUGCAAUUCAAAGUUUCUUUAUCGAAUAAUCAAGAAUAACCUAGAAGCCAAAAUCAAACUCUAU
rnacentral:lncRNA from 1 species